AGGGUUUGAUUCUGGCUCAGGAUGAACGCUGGCGGCGUGCCUAAUACAUGCAAGUCGAACGCUUCACUUCGGUGAAGAGUGGCGAACGGGUGAGUAAUACAUAAGUAACCUGGCAUCUACAGGGGGGAUAACUGAUGGAAACGUCAGCUAAGACCGCAUAGGUGUAGAGAUCGCAUGAACUCUAUAUGAAAAGUGCUACGGGACUGGUAGAUGAUGGACUUAUGGCGCAUUAGCUAGUUGGUGAGAUAACAGCCCACCAAGGCGACGAUCAGUAGCCGACCUGAGAGGGUGACCGGCCACAUUGGGACUGAGACACGGCCCAG
rnacentral:rRNA from 1 species